rnacentral:lncRNA from 1 species
UUGCUAGCUUCACUGGCUCAUCUUUAGAAUCUUGAAUGAGUUUGUGCAGAAACUUUGCGGCCUCCAACUCAACAUGAUGCGAAGAAGACGCCAUCUCCUCCUACGAACUACAAAAUUAACAGCCAAUAAGCAAGUAAAAUUUUAUUAGUCCCAAACCAUCAGAUUUAAUCCCUACAUUUCACACCAAACUUGUAAUUUCCGAUUCCUUAGACACUUAAGACUUACAAAUUUUCAAUUCCAUGUAUAUGAUCGUAAUUAAACUGAAAAUUCAAUAAAAUAAAACAACAAAACACUAAAUAAAAUAAAACAGAGACUUAAAAUUUCCUAAUCUUUUUCUUUUCUUUGGCCACCUAAAACUUCCUAGCACAGUAACCGCAUUUUUAUGGAAGAAUAUCUAUAAUUAAGCUGAAAACCACUAAAUUAAGAUCCAAAACUACUUACACCACACUGUAAUGCGACUUGCUUAGCAAUUUGUUUGUUUCUCGACAAACGAUCGUUCUUUUUUCCUCGAAAAAGUUAUAAUAUCAAUGACGAGAAAACCCUACCCGAAGAAAAUUCAAUCAAAUAAAAGGCCCAAAAACAAACCUAGUCGGAGAUCGAAGAGUUCUCAGGUAAGCUACAUAGAGUGAUUCGAACUUGAAAACCUCUUCAUUAAUGGGAAUGGAG